rnacentral:rRNA from 1 species
UUGACCUCGGAUCAGGUAGGGAUACCCGCUGAACUUAAGCAUAUCAGUAAGCGGAGGAA